UUGGAGGGCAAGUCUGGUGCCAGCAGCCGCGGUAAUUCCAGCUCCAAUAGCGUAUAUUAAAGUUGUUGCAGUUAAAAAGCUCGUAGUUGAAUUUCGGGAUCAAUGGAUUGGUCAUGCCGUUGGUAUGUACUGAUUUUAUUGAUUCUCACCUUCUAAAGAAUCAUAAUGCCAUUAAUUUGGUGUUGUGAGGAAUUAGGACUGUUACCUUGAAAAAAUUAGAGUGUUUAAAGCAGGCUUACGCUUGAAUACAUUAGCAUGGAAUAACGAAAUAGGACAUCGCAUUCUAUUUUGUUGGUUUCUAGGAUCGAUGUAAUGAUUAAUAGGGAUAGUUGGGGGCAUUAGUAUUCAAUUGUCAGAGGUGAAAUUCUUGGAUUUAUUGAAGACUAACUACUGCGAAAGCAUUUGCCAAGGAUGUUUUCAUUAAUCAAGAACGAAAGUUAGGGGAUCGAAGACGAUCAGAUACCGUCGUAGUCUUAACCAUAAACUAUGCCGACUAGGGAUCGGAUGAUGUUAAUUUUUUAAUGACUCAUUCGGCACCUUACGGGAAAC
rnacentral:rRNA from 1 species